rnacentral:rRNA from 1 species
UACGGGGGGGGGCAAGCGUUGUUCGGAAUUACUGGGCGUAAAGGGCUCGUAGGCGGGUUGUUAAGUCAGGGGUGAAAUCCUGGAGCUCAACUCCAGAACUGCCUUUGAUACUGGCAACCUAGAGACUGGAAGAGGUUAGUGGAAUUCCCAGUGUAGAGGUGAAAUUCGUAGAUAUUGGGAAGAACACCAGUGGCGAAGGCGGCUAACUGGUCCAGCACUGACGCUGAGGUGCGAAAGCGUGGGGAGCAAACAGG